GCAGUCGAGCGGCUGCGCGGGGGCAACCCUGGCGGCGAGCGGCGGACGGGUGAGUAAGGCAUCGGAAUCUGCCCUGAUGUGGGGGAUAACGUAGGGAAACUUACGCUAUACCGCAUACGACCGAGAGGUGAAAGCGGGGGACCGAAAGGCCUCGCGCAGCAGGAUGAGCCGAUGUCCGAUUAUCUGGUUGGUGGGGUAAAGGCCUACCAAGGCGACGAUCGGUAGCUGGUCUGAGAGGAUGAUCAUCCACACUGGGACUGAGACACGGCCCAUACUCCUACCGGAGGCAGCAAUGGGGAAUAUUGGACAAUGGGGGCAACCCUGAUCCACCAAUGCCGCGUGUGUGAACAACGCCUUCGGGUUGUAAAGCACUUUUAUCGAGAGCGAAACGCGCCAGACUAAUAUUCUGGUGAACUGACGGUACCCGAGGAAUAAGCACCGGCUAACUCCGUGCCAUCAGCCGCGGUAAUACGGAGGGUGCAAGCGUUAAUCGGAAUUACUGGGCGUAAAGCGUGCGUAGGCGGUAAGUUAAGUCUGCUGUGAAAUCCCUGGGCUCAACCUGCGAAUGGCGAGUGGAUACUGGCUUGCUGGACUACGGUAUACGAAAGUGGAAUUCCCGAGUGUAGCGGUGAAAUGCGUAUAUAUCGG
rnacentral:rRNA from 1 species